UACGGAGGAUGCAAGCGUUAUCUGGAUUUAUUGGGUUUAAAGGGUGCGCAGGUUGUUUGAUGAGUCAGUGGUGAAAGUCUGUCGCUUAACGGUAGGAUUGCCAUUGAUACUGUUAGACUUGAAUAUGGAUGAGGUAGGCGGAAUGUGUAGUGUAGCGGUGAAAUGCAUAGAUAUUACACAGAACACCGAUUGCGAAGGCAGCUUACUAAUCCAUCAUUGACGCUGAGGCACGAAAGCGUGGGGAU
rnacentral:rRNA from 1 species